GGGUGGAGCAGAGCCGGGGCUGGUGGGGGCAGCGCGGCGCGGGCGGCGGAGCGGCGGGAUGCGGCAGUGCCGGGCCGCGGUGCUGCUGGUGGCUGUGAGCAGAGCCCAGGUGCAGCAGGAGCCUUCGGUAGAGACCAGCGAGGGCAUCGGCAUCAACAUCACCUGCUCACAUCCCAAAACACAGUUCAGCGAAGUCAUUCAGUGGUACCGUCAGCUCCCGGGCCGAGGCCCCGCAUUCCUCGUCAGCGCCGUUAAAGGCUCCAAGGAGGUGCCGGACCCGGAGGGGCAGCUGUGGGUGUCGGCAGACCGCCGCUCCAGCGUCCAGCGUCCUGCGGCUCUCCCGGCCCCGGCUCGGGGACGCGGCGCUGUAUUACUGCGCCUUGGGCGCACGGGAAGCGAAGCCGGGGCUGCGGCCGGGCACGAACCGCUUGGGGCGGGCCGGGGGCGCAGUGCCGUCCGGGCCCGCAGGGGGCGCUGCCGCUCCCCCCUCCCGGCCCCGCCGAGCUGGCAGUGCUGACAUGGAACGCGUCCCUCGCACCGCUCGGCAUCCUCCGGAGAAAGGCGUUCCAGCUGCACACUUUCAUGAGUGCUGGUGUCACAGCCAUCUGCAUGUGAUCUCCUCAGUGGCUCUGUUUUGAGAGUAUGAGACUGUGUGACAAGAUUCAGGGCCUCUGGCAGUGAGGUGUGAAUUCAGCUGAGGCCACUGUAAGGUGUGUUCACAGGGAGGGCUACAGGCUCGUGAAGGCUGUGGAUCAAGUCCCUUAUCAGCUUAAAGGGAAUUACAAGUAAAAUGAAACUGAUAAACAAAGCACAGGAUGACCCCGAUCUCUAACCAAAUAGGAUGACAAUUGGUGAAACUAUACCUCUUCAGCUAUAGAUGAUCAGCUUCAGCUUCAGCUAUGGGGAACUCCAUGUGUUAGAUUUGAAUUAGAUGAGGUUGAGCUCUGUAAGUGACAAGAGACAAGAUGAAAAUGAAAAUUAGGAUUGCUCUAGAGGGACUUGUGGGGCUAUGCAAACAUUUUAAAGAGUGGCUAGGGAAUGGUGAGAGAGGAGAGGGGAGGAAUAAGGGGAUGCACUGUAGGGAAAAAGGACAAAAGUUCCAGUCAGUACAUCUGCAUAUAUGGAUGAGCCCUGUGCCUGAUCAAUGCAGUCCAUCCUGUCUCCUUAUUAAAUCCUGACUUGUCUGUGCAACACUGAAACUGGGCUCUCUUUCUCAUGUGGGAGCCAUGAGAAAGCCAGAGAGGAGGAACAGGGCUUGGCUCUGAGCUUCGGGCUUAUAAGAGAACUGGUGUUGUUACCUGUGGGUGUUGCUAUGGCAAUGAGUGCCCUGCCUGUGCAGCCAGCCGAGUCAUUUCCGGCAGCUCUGUCGUCUUGGGGCUGGGAGGUGGUUUUCUGCCUCUUGCUCACUCACAAACAGGAGGCUCGGUCUCAGCAUGCUUCAGUAAGAAGUAAAAACUUCCUUCCCUAAGUUCCAUGUAGAAAUCUCAGGGUUGGGAGGAGCAGAGAAGAUGAUGCAUGGUUUUCUAGUAGUAAUUCUUCCAUACAAAUGCUUUCCACAUGAUGAAAUCCUCACAUUAUCAUGUGCAGUCCAGGGCUGCCCUUCAAUCCUAGCAACUUGAGAUCACUAUUAAAAGGAUCUCAUGGAGGCUGGGACUGGGAUGCAGGUAACAUUAGUGACACUGAAGAGGGAAAUGAGUUUUCUUCCACACAGCCAUGUUGUGUGGGCAGCACCAGAGCUGCCAAAAAUCUGUGCACAUCCCCCCUGGUCAAGAUUUAAAAAUGCAAUCUUUGUGUUGGUCCCAUAGAACUCAGGUUGGCUAUGGGGAAAUUAUACACCCAAAAGAAGGGAAUACAAGGAAAAGAGAGAAAAGGGUAGAAAAUGGGGAAUUGAGCAUGGUGGGCACCUUCUGCCAUCAUAGUGUCUGGAAAUUCGGAAGAGAUCAAAGCACCCAGAAGUGAUGGAGACUGCAUCACAGCUGAGGAUGCUGUCAAUUGCUGCAGAGGUAGAGGUUCCCACAGAGGUGUUCUGUAGGUAUGCACUGACGUUGAGGCCAAGCAGGGCUGCAAUCAUGGGGAGAGAUUUAAUGAUGACAGUAUGGUUUUUACUGUGCCUGACACAGGGCUGC